UUCCCGUUGGUCUAGUGGUUAGGAUGUCCCGCUUUCACCGGGAAGAUCGCGGGUUCAAACCCCGCACGGGAAG